AGGAACACAAUUAGACAAGCACUAAUCUGGGGAGGAGCAAGAACUUAUAUACAGAGAAGGCGGGGCUAAUGGCUCGUUCUGGGCAUGCUCAGUCCUCAUUUUUCUCCAGCAGUCGAUGAGGGAGGUUCCUGUGUCUGCAGCUCCUGGGGUGAAGUCCCAGACGGCCUUCUGUUGCUCUGCUUUGUUUCUGGAGGGCCUCUGGUGACUGAAGAAUGCCUGGGGUGCUGCUCUGCUCAUCGGGAGUCUUCUCUGAGGUCGUCAGUAAGUGGAGCUUGAGGCGGGCCGCCAUUGCCAAUGGAGCCGGGUUGUUCAGGGAGCUGCUCUUCAGUAGGAACACAAUUAGACAAGCACUAAUCUGGGAGGAGCAAGAACUUAUAUACAGAGAAGGCGGGGCUAAUGGUAAGUACUAACCAAUGGUAAGUGACACAAUGACAUCACAC